UUGUUUUUGCAGCAGAUAUACUAAAAUUGGAAUGAUACAAAAAAGAUGAGCAUGGCCCCUAUACAAAGAUGACAUGCAAAUUCCUGAAGCAUUCCACUGUUUU